AAAUAAUCAUACGUGUUUAUUUUUUCUUUGUAACUUUGCUUCACUUCAUAAUCAGCAAGAUGCAUUUCUCAUCAAAGAAUUUUGUCCUGCUAGCGUUAUGUUUUUUUGGGCGUAACUAUAGUGAUUCGAAUGGACAUUAUAAUAUUAGGCCAGUGAUAAAUGUUGUUCUCCGUAAUGUCGCCUAAUGGUUCGAUUUUUGAGGUUCGGAAGAAGAUUUCAAAGUGGAUUGAAGCAGCAUAAUGUAAAAAAAUGUUUAAUUUUUGAAUAAAAUCAUAUGUCUACGUGAUUCCGAUAGUAUCAACAAGAA